rnacentral:rRNA from 1 species
CUCUUUAGCUUGGCAUUUGAAUCGGCUUUGCUGUUGCGAAGUAGAGUGGCGGCUUCGGCUGCCGAGGGUCGAUCCAUUUGGGAAAUGUUGUGUACUUCGGUAUGCAUCUCAAUUGGACCUGAUAUCAGGCAAGAUUACCCGCUGAACUUAAGCAUAUUAAUAAGCGGAGGAAAAGAAACUAACAAGGAUUCCCCUAGUAACGGCGAGUGAAGCGGGAAGAGCUCAAGCUUAAAAUCUCCGUGCAAGUUUUGCGCGGCGAAUUGUAGUCUAUAGAGGCGUGAUCAGUGUGGGCGCUUGGGGCAAGUUCCUUGGAAGAGGACAGCAUGGAGGGUGAUACUCCCGUUCAUCCCUGAGUUGCUCGUGCGUACGAUCCGUUUUCUUUGAGUCGCGUUGUUUGGGAAUGCAGCGCAAAGUAGGUGGUAAAUUCCAUCUAAAGCUAAAUAUUGGUGCGAGACCGAUAGCGAACAAGUACCGUGAGGGAAAGAUGAAAAGAACUUUGAAAAGAGAGUUAAAGAGUACCUGAAACUGCUGAAAGGGAACCGAAUCGUUUCCAGUGUCUAUAAUCCGUGGUAUAUUUCAUUGGCGAGUGUGUGCGUGCGUGUGCUGUGGCAGCGGCUUUUUUGGCUGCGCUCGGCGUGUGUGCUGUGUGUGCUUGCUGGUGCCCUGUGCUG